rnacentral:rRNA from 1 species
UACAGAGGUCUCGAGCGUUAGGCGGAAUCACUGGGCUUAAAGCGUGUGUAGGCGGAUCGUUAAGUACCUUGUGAAAUCCCACGGCUUAACCGUGGAACUGCUUGGUAUACUGGCGGUCUUGAGUCACUUAGGGGCUACCGGAACAAAUGGUGGAGCGGUGAAAUGCGUAGAUAUUGGGAGGAACACCAGUGGCGAAGGCGGCUCACUGGACCGGUUCUGACGCUGAGGCGCGAAAGCGUGGGGAGCAAACGGG